GAGGGUGAUCGGCCACAUUGGAACUGAGACACGGUCCAAACUCCUACGGGAGGCAGCAGUGGGGAAUAUUGCACAAUGGGCGAAAGCCUGAUGCAGCAACGCCGCGUGAGUGAUGAAGGCCUUCGGGUCGUAAAACUCUGUCCUCACGGAAGAUAAUGACGGUACUUGAGGAGGAAGCCCCGGCUAACUACGUGCCAGCAGCCGCGGUAAUACGUAGGGGGCUAGCGUUAUCCGGAUUUACUGGGCGUAAAGGGUGCGUAGGCGGUCUUUCAAG
rnacentral:rRNA from 1 species